CACUUUUUCCAUACUGGUCCCCCUUGGGAAUCRAACCCACAACCCUGGGUUGUAAGCAUCAUGCUCUACCAACUGACCCACACGGGACCAGGUCAUCAAAUCUGCUGAUUGGAUCGCAGCCCACCACACACCCUACUAAUGAUCGCUUGUCUCUCUACUCUUGAGGGGGCGCGAUUCAUUCGGACAGUCUACUCUUAGGAACCAAAAACCAGACACAAUCAGGGUAGUCUCCCCAGACAGACAUGCUGCCUCACACAAUUUAACAAUAUUUCAUCAUAUACGAUUGCCCAAGUGCCUGCGUCGGUUGGGCAGAGAAGAGUAGGCGGAAAUGGAAUGCACACAGGAAAUCGUCCAGAGCCUUAUCGGUUCAUUUCCUGCCAUAAAAAUGUCAACUGGAAACAACAUUGAUGGAGCUCGCAGAYGAUAUUUUCAAAGAGUGCAUUUCGCAAGACUGGAGGAAUCACCAGCACAACGACUGCCAGACCGGUGGGGCUGUGGCUGUCCAGGAGGAUGUGUCCAUGUCAACCAUAGACACUCACAGACACCCAAACAGACUCUGUAAAAAAAGCUAAGCUCUCCUUUCAAUACCGCAGCGACUUGAUCAUGGCUUCUGAUUCUGACCUCAGCAAGUUGUAACGUAAGUGCUGGUGCUUCUCUUUGAACGCAUGGACGAUAGUCGCUAGACUUUGUCAUGCCCCUAGAACAUGUAGAGUAUUUUAUGACAGCUGGGAUUUUUUUUUUUACACCAAACUGAAAUGUUGCUGAAUGAUAUUACAUUGUCUCCUGUCUGAAGAAAAAACAUUUGAAACCCCUAAAAACACUACAUUACACCAAUGGGACUCAUUCCUCUUCAGAUGAUCAAAGACAAUUAUUUGAAGAGCAGUGUUAGCCUCCCUCAACAGACUUUGGUCUCUGGUUCGAUUUAUAUAUUUGUCAUGGAAACCUACAGAUAUUGAAUGACUGCGUAUGUUUCAUGUUAAGUCUACUACUCCUGUGAACCAGAUUUAUAAACCCACAGAAUGCCUGUUACUGAAAAAUACUAAUGCUCUAUAAGUGCCGAUUUACUUAAAUUAUAUAUUUUCUAUGUUUUUUUAUUUAUGUAUUAUGUUGGCUCUGUUCUGCAUUAAAUGGAGCAGGAAAGGCAGGUAUGCUACAAUAGGUCUGAAAAGAACCUAUGAGAAUGAAAUAAAACACCAAAUGACCUUGUCAAUUGUCCUCUUGCUAGUUCCCAGUGAUUGCAUGCUGUGAGAGAUUGAGUGAUGUAAUGACCUAUAUAAUUCUGMAGUCACAUUCAUAUGUAAUGAGUAAUGACCCUACUUGUCAUUUGACAUAUUUUCAAUGUAACUUGCAAACUGCAAAAUUCAUUUCAAACCAGCUUGGUCUGUGUGUGACUGGGUGAGAAUAUGUUUUGAGUACAUUGCGACACAUUAUCAAUAUUGUAAAUGCAUUUUCAACAAAUUUGAGAUGUGUACAUUUCCAGUAGGAAAUUGACUUGAGGUAGUGAACGAACUGUGUCCAGAGUCAGAAAGGCAUGCAUGGCGAGAGUUGUCUGAUAUGUAGGCAAUUUCCAUCCACCCACCCACUGUCUCUGUGGACUUAUCGUUGUGUACUUAUCGCUAAGUGUAUGAAUGCCAUGGUUAUUAUUUAAUCGACAGUGCACAUUAGUGAGAUUAUCUGAGCUUUUCUCAUUGAUAGCUGUCAACUGCCACACAGCUGCACUGAUGUGGAUUAAACCCUGGAUUAAAGUGGUCAACUGCGUUAUAGAGGGGAAGUUGUUGUGUAAUGUUGUUCAGUACAACAUGCUAUCUUUCUGUGAAGACCAACUGGUAUACACCUCCACUAUUCACUUGAGAACUGGUGUGAAAAACGAGGGUCAAUUUGACCAACAGCUACCSGUCCAAAAGAGGGUCCAUUACAUUGAUUUAUUGGAUUGCCUGUUGAGAGAUUGGAAGAGUUUUGAGAUCUCCUUAUGAAGUAAUCCACAGCAAGCUCUACAAACAGGCUAUGAAAUUAUAUGACGUCAUCCAGUAUAUGAUUUUAUUUUUAUUUAACCUUUAUUUUAAUAGGGAACACCUAUUGCGACCUAGGUCUUGGAGUGAAACAUUUUGUGUCCWCUGUGUCUCUACAUGUAGCGUGUUGUUUCCUGAUUAUUGUGUUCGGGGACUUUGCUCUCAGGGAGGGGACUGCUAGAAGAAGAACAGAAAGAAGGGAACACAUUGCUACUUUGGCACAACGUCUAGAAACUACGUGUGCAAGGUCAUUAUCAGCUUAGUGCACCCUGAGAGCAGAGACGCCUAGCUUGUGCAUGAGUAUAAAGAGUGCUGAAGGGGAAGCACCCAUUCAGAGCUUCUGACAGACUAGUACUUUGAGUAUUGAGAUUGYUGUCUCCGGGCGAUAUCAAUAAAGAUCUGUUCACUUAA